rnacentral:rRNA from 1 species
UGGGGAAUAUUGCACAAUGGACGGAAGUUUGAUGCAGCGACGCCGCGUGUAGGGUGUAGGCCUUCGGGUUGUGAACUCCUUUUUCUCGCGAAAAAGGCACAGUUUUGGCUGUGUUGAUGGUAGUGGGGGAAGAAGCGCCGGCUAACUACGUGCCAGCAGCCGCGGUAAUACGUAGGGCGCGAGCGUUGUCCGGAUUUAUUGGGCGUAAAGAGCUCGUAGGUGGUUCGUCGCGUCUGUCGUGAAAGCCAGCAGCUUAACUGUUGGUCUGCGGUGGGUACGGGCGGGCUUGAGUGCGGUAGGGGUGACUGGAAUUCCUGGUGUAGCGGUGGAAUGCGCAGAUAUCAGGAGGAACACCGAUGGCGAAGGCAGGUCACUGGGCCGUUACUGACACUGAGGAGCGAAAGCGUGGGGAGCGAACAGG